GUUUCCAUAGUGUAGUGGUUAUCACGUGCUCCUAACACGCGCAAGGUCCUGGGUUCGAGCCCCAGUUGCAACA